UGCCAAGGGCCAAGGGUACAGGUUGCUGUCACUUAGCUGUGUCGAGUACGCUUUUUACAUGCUGGGCACAAAAGGCAUUCUUAGAAAAAGGCACAGAGUCAGAGGCUGCAGCAGGGAGGAGACAAGGUACACAGGACAGCAAUCUGAGCUUAACUGGGAGCAAAUCAGAACAUGCAAGCACAUUUGGUUGUAUUGCUGAGCUAAGCUUUGUUUGGGUCUGAUCUUCCAAUCUGUGGCCUCAGGGCAAACAGGUGAUCAGGCGCGCGCGCGUGCGUGUGUGUGUGUGUGUGUGUGUGUGUGUGUGUGUGUGUUUGUGUGUUCAGCAUUUGCGCAGCUGGCUGGCAUGGAAGAUAGACACUGUUACAAAUUCUUUACCACAAAAGAGGAACGCUGCACAGAGGUGGUCAAGAACCCAGAUACAGGAAAGCACCCAGCACAUGUACAACCCCAUCGUCCCCGAAGCUGCCUUGGCUAUGGGACUUCUUUGGCUGGUGGGAAGUUGCUGAGGGAACGGGGGAACGGGCUACUUCCAUACAGAGUUGUAACAGCCUGUCUGUGAUCUGCUGUCCCCCCUUACCUGCCUCAGUGAUGGUGGGAGUGUGUGUCUCAAUCCUGUGGGCGGGCGGGCGGGUGCCUGAGAGAGGAUGAGAAGCAGAGCCCUCUGCUGACCUGAACUAGAGAUGCAGUGAGUAAGAUGAACGGUUGCUAAAGGAUAAACAGCGUGACAUCAAUCUCAGCUCAAACGUGUGCUCUGCGGAGGGGACCCUGGACGAUCAAGGUGUCAACAGUGCUCUCGGCCUGGGCCCCCAGGAGGGAAGCUACACAUACAAUGUGGCAUGCAUAUCUGAUAGGUAAACACUAUUCGUCUAUCACAUUUUGCCUGAUCCCUCCACACUGAGACAAGCACUUGGUUGCCCCAGAGCCUACAGCCUGUCCUCUAUUAUUUCACCAGAUCUCUGACACGAUCUGUUUCUGUUUGAGUCUGCCUGCUGCGGCGUGUAGUCCGGGAUCUACUCACCGCAACCUGGAACCUGACCUGGCAUCUAGUAGAAAUUCAAGCACGCUUGCAGAACUGGAUUGGAUUGGGGUGGGGUUGGCUCAGUUUAUAAACAGACAUAUGUCAAGAAUUCAUCUUUCCUUUCUGUGGUGCACUGACUUAGGAGCAUCUUAUUAUUAAUUAUCUCCUACAGGCAAUGGAAAAAAGGACAUUUGGCCCGGAACCCCAGUUUGGGUGCCCGACAAUAGGAAAUUGGAAAUACUGUCCUGCUGAUGACAACAGCAUAAACCUUGAAAAUGCACUUUUAAUAAAGGGUGGCUAGAAUGCCAAUUUAGCACAUAACUGGUGCAUUCAGACAGAACCUAGUAAGAGGAAAGGAAAUUUACUUUCUAAGGAUUAAGUCUCCUACCCAGCUGUAAUUUAGGCUUUAAGGCUCCUCACAUGGUAUAAACAUCCCUCUAUUAAUUGGAAACAUUGCUGGUUAACAUAUACAUCUCAAUUUCAAAGUGUUUUAUAUUCUGUACUACACUUGGAAAAUAUUUUCCAAUGGGCAUGUGGCUAACCUCUCAUAUGACUUCAGGAUCAGUGCUUGGUAGAAUUUAUUAAAAGAUAAAUUCAAGUGAACUUCUGUCUUUUCAAAGGGAACAGGAAGGUCACUGCUGGAAAAAGACCAAGCUCCCUCUUUUAUGGAGGAGAAAACCAAGGCCCAGAAGGUUAGGUGACUUCCCGAAAUCACACAGCCUUCAGGCGGAGGCAGCAUCAUGUGGGAAGGUCCUGAGUCAGAGAACCUGGAGUGGGUGUGGGGUGAGGCAGAAUGGAUGGCCAGGGACUGGGGGGCCAUCUGAAGGGGUCUGGAUUGCAUUUCACAUUCAAUGGGCAGCAGUUGAAGGGUUUCAUGCAGGGAAAUGCUGGCAUCUGACCCGUGUUUUCUAGUAUAAAGACCAAACUUCUGCUGGAAGGAUAAAGACCAGCUGGAGGCUUUUACUGUGAUGCAGCUGUGAGAUGAUAGGGACCCAGGUGAAGGUGUGACAGUGGACUUGGAAAGAAGAGAAUGAGGAUGAAAUAUAUUUUAGAAUCGGGGAUGAAAUAUACUUUGGAAUCGGAAUCAAGAGGACUUGUGGGCGGUAAGGAAGGAGGGAUCAAGGGUGACUGUUAUGUUUGUGGCUUGGAUGGAGGGGGUACUCUAUAUGAGAUGGGCAGGUAUACGAACAGGGAACCAAGAAUUCAGUUUUGAACAUGUAGUAAAGUCAGGCUUGAAAUGGAAACAGUGUAAUAGAUGUGAAAUGCACAGUGUUGGCACAGAGUAAGCGUGGUGGCCUUGAUAGUGUUGUUUUUAUCACUGGCAUUUUCAGUACCACGCCAAUGGGGUUACUAAGGCCAAGGAGAAAAGAGAUUUAUAUUGUGUACUCUGGUGUAGUUCGUACACAGGCUAGUUGACUGUGUCGUGAGUGACACACACACUUAUUGGUAAAUCGAUGUGAGUGUCAUGAAUGUUCGGUAUAAAUUGGCACUCGUAGAAACGACAUUGAUUUUGGUGACUCUCCUAUAGGACAAGUCUGAGACCCGCUUUGGGUUAGAGCUGUUAAUGGUGAUCUGAAGCUUGUGUACAGAAUUUGUUGCUGAGUUUUUCCACUCCUCCAAAGUAAAGAGCUUCAACUUAUAAUAAUAAACAUCAGUACAACUACUGGUAUUCACGUUUGAUAUUGCUUAUUGUUUGGAUGUUCUUUAUCCAUUCUCUAAAAACGGAUACGUUUGCAACAUAGUUCAAAAAUGUCUUUCGCUGUCAGGAGAAACUUGACAUCAUUUUAAGAGAAGACGUCUUUAUUUUGUUUUCCAGCAUCUUGAUUUUUGGCCAGGUCUGUGCUCCGACACUCCUCUACUGCUCCCUACUGGUCAACAUUAUUCAGCAGCUGGCUAACUGCACACAUAGCAAUCCACUGGGGCACAAGUAGCAACCUUUACUCUCUGCGCUUCAUCCCAAUUUAUUUUAGAGAGAUUUAUAUGACAGAAAUAGUCAAAAUAAUGAUCCAUGUGGGGCAACGAAUGUUUUUUAGACAAUCCGUUUUCAAGGGUUUCCAUUGGGCACUAUUUAUCAUCGUUACUCCCUCUUCUCUCUUAAAGAAGGUAUUUUUAUUGACUUACAGUGUGAACUACUUGAUUCCUUGCUUUAUUAUAAAGGCUUUCGAGAAUGUUACGGUUCAACCUAUACAAGGUAUUGUUUUAAUGCCUUUAACAUAAGUCCUGGAUGCUUGCCAGAUAAAAGUCUACGAAAGUUCACAAGUGAAGGGGAAAAAAGGGAAUGACAACUCUGCCUAACCAGUUAAGGGCACCAGAUCCCAUAAAACUAAAUUCAAGUGUUCAAUAUAUGCACUUGUCAUUUUCAAUGCCUAUAAAAUUGGCUUCAGAGGUAGAUACAACUAAGAUCACAGUACUGCAGAGAUUUGCAAAAAGUAAUACUUAUGACUCUUCUUCUGUGUGAAAUAUCUUAAAUGGAGAAAAGCCCCAUUUUAAAGCAGCCAAAAUAACUUUACAACAAUAGUUGUGUGCAUGUGUGCACAAAGGUUUAAAAGAGAUGUAUUUAGUUUAGGAGACUUACCUCACGUACCAAGAUCUAUAUUAAAUGACCUACAUUUUCUUUCUUUUUUUUUUUUAAGUUUAUUGAUUUUUGACAGAGACAGAGUGCGAGCAUGAGCUGGGGAGGGGCAGAGAGCGAGGGAGACACAGAAUCCGAAGCAGGCUCCAGGCUCCAAGCUGUCAGCACAGAACCUGACGCAGGGCUCAAACUCACGAUCUGUGAGAUCAUGACCUGGACCGAAGUCGGACGCUUAACCGACCGAGCCACCCAGGCGCCCCAAAUGACCUACAUUUUCUAAACAACUGCUAUUUUUCUUUCUUGUCAGAAUAAAGUGGCUUGUAAAGGGUCUGUUCUCAGUUCCAGAAACUGAGGGCUCCUUUCGAUAAUUCGUCAGUUGUAAUUUAUAAACUAACUUGCUUAAGACCUUGAAACCCAUCUAUAUCGUGAAAAAGGUCACCUCCGCUGGGAAAAUUCAAGACGAAUUGGAGUCACAAACCCUCUCCUGUUCUCUGGUUUGGUUGCAUCACUUGGAACAUGGAAAAAGCAAUAUUCAGAUUUGCUUCAGGAGGGAACCCAGUAGCCUAGCCUGCUACUAAAUAGACACUCAUUAAAAUUGAUACUCCAUCUGAUCUCACCUAUCCUGGAGAAUUUAGGCUGUUUCGUCAGACAUCUGCUUUCCUAAGAUAAAGUCUCUCUCCAAAUAUGGACUCCACCUAGCGUUGUGACUGCAUAAAUAGGGUUAUUAGCUCACCCUUUUUUUGCAAAGCAUCUGAAGUGCCUCGCGUACGUGAAGAAGGGGAACCAGGGACCUUCUCAAAGCAUGUCUUAGGCCUACUCAUUGUUGCCUCUGCCAGGUCCCCAAACAGGAAGCCAGUGAAAUACACUGUAAAUAUGACCCCGGUUGGUGAGUUACUUCAAAGGCGUUUUUUUUUUUUUUUGUAAAACUCAGUGGCACAGGCUGUGUGGAAUAUACCGUAUUCAUACUGAAACAAAAUGAGGAAACGUGCAUAAAAUUAAAAUCACGACAUGGCCAGCUGAAGAAUUUGAGUGUUGGCUUGCUGCUAAGAGCACAUUUUUGUGCUGCUUUGUAAAAUGAUGACCUCAACACUGCCACAAAGCCACUAUUGUCAAGGGUGCGCUGCGAACACUGCUAGGAGGAUCCAACCUGCUUUUAAUUCUUUAUCAGGGAAACAAAAGAGCCACAAGGUGAUUGUCACUGGAAUCCAAUGCUUUCCGAUGGGAUCAGACUCAUAAAAGAGCUUACAGAGGUUUAAGUUGCUCUGAAAUCAAGGUCCUUUGGGGGCACAGAUGAACUCAAAGUUACCAUCAUGCGAUAGAAUGAAUAGGAAAUGGCUUAUAAACUCUAAAUGCUAAACAGGUCUAAAUAGUUCUUGUUGUUGAAUCAUCAGUGACAAACUCUUAGGUCAGCAGAGGCUUAAAAUUAUCUAGCAUUUGAUACAGAGAGAGAGAGAAGCACAGAGAACCAUAUGCAAUGUGUAACCUCAGGUUCCAUGUACUGAAUUUUUUUUUACAUUUAUUUAUUUUUUGAGAGACAUAGAGAGACAGAGCAUAAGUUGGGGAGGGGCAGAGAGAGGAGGAGACACAGAAUCCAAAGCAGGCUCCAGGCUCCAAGCCAUCAGUCCAGAGCCCGAUGUAGGGCUCGAACUCACAAACCGUGAGAUCAUGACCCGAGCCGAAGUCGGACGCUCAACCUACUGAGCCACCCAGGAGCCCCUCAAGUACUGAAUUUUGAGUCCUCUUGUCCUCAUGCACUGUCUUGGGCUUUCCAAAAUCACUGUAAUGAAAUGCAGCUGGGUUUUGUACUCCUCCCAAAAAUGCAGAAGAUGGGAAAAGGGAUUUUGCUUACUUGCCUACAUCAUUUAUAAGCUAACAUGUGAAUGAACUAUCAAACCUUCUGAAACUUAUUAAGGUGAAUUCUGUCGCCAGAAACACAUUUUAUAGCUUUUUAAAAAAGCCAUGGGGAAUUUUCAGCAGGACAUGAGUAUUUAAAAACACAACUCAUUCCGUUAAUUGGGAGCCAUACAGUUAAGCCUCAGACAAUUUAAGUUUUAAAAUUUCUCUUGGGGCUUUAGGGGUAUCGAUUAUAAAAUGCUUAUUCAAUGUUGUUCGGCUGUGUGACUGCUCCCUGGCAUUAGGGGUGAUCCCUGCUCUUCUCCAGUGCAGCUCUGAGGCUGGACAUAAUACCCAGCAUGUGUUUGUGAAAAUAUAGGAACGUAUUCAGCAUCUUCCCGAGCACAGUUUUAGGACCUUUCUCCUACAGCAAAGUUGUUUUAGUUAUUUACAAUAAAUAUUGAUUUCAUUUGGCACGAUGCUUAGCUCCAUAUUUUAUUAAUUAGCUUUAUGUUUCAUCCUAAAUACUAAAAUAGAAGUCUUUCAAGUUACCGAGGAUCCCAAAUGCAUUUAUAAGGAAAUGCUAAUAUGGUCUUUGUGACUUUGGGAAUUUGGGUGUUGAUAAAUUUGAGGGUGUUUUGGAGUGGUGUCUAAUGCCUUAUACAAAACCGUGACAGUUUUCUUCUAUUAAGAAAUCACAUCCCCCAAGGUGUCUGAAAAACUUCCUUUAGAAGAUUUCAAAAUGCCAGAUGUAAAUAUUUUUGCACUAAAACAAUAAUUCAGGGGGCGCCUGGGUGGCUCAGUCAGUUAAGCAUCUGACUUGAUUUCGGCUUAGGUCAUGAUCUCACAGUCAUGAGAUCGAGGUCCACAUCAGACUCGACACUCUAUGUGAAGCCUGCUGGGGAUUCUCUCUCUCCUCCUCUCUCUCUCUGCCUCUCCCCUGCUUGCUGCCUCUCUCUCCCUCUCAAAAUAAAUAAAUAAAUAAAUAUUUUUAAAAUUAAAAACAUAAAACAAUAAUUCAGGAACACAAACAUCAAAUGACUUUUUUUUUUUUUUAGAAGACUUUAUGAUUUUAGAAGACCCACAUAUCUGAUCGAAAUUCUAUGUCAGAGUCAGCAGAGUUAAUGUUGAGUUAGGUUGAAAAACUUUCUCGGAGCUUUUGGGUGGUUAGUUGGUUAAGCAUCUGACUUCAGCUCAGAUCAUGAUCUCACGGUUCGUGAAUUCGAGCCCCGCGUCAGGCUCUGCGCUGACAGCUCAGAGCCUGGAGCCUGCUUUGGAUUCGGUGUCUCCCUCUUUCUCUGCCCCUUCCCUGCUCACGCUCUGUCUCUCACUCUCUCAAAAAUAAAUAAAAAACAUUAAAAAAAAUUCUCUCCGAAUAUUCAACAGAUGAUACCCUGCAAAUCCAGAGUGUUCACCCGUUCUAGAACAAAGCCCUAAACACAUCUGGGAAUUUCCAGUCAGACCAGAAGAACACCAGAGGGAGUGGGCUCUGGCUGGGAGUUUUAAAAAUGCUGAAGCGACUGCCAAGAAAUAAUCUCUUCUUAGACACUGAGUGGGCAGAAGUGGUGUAUGACUCCUCUCGAUGCCCUGCUUUAGCUCUUGUCCCUGCCUGACAUCAGGGGAGGGGCAUGGGCAAGAUGGCUGCCUCCCGUGGAUUUGGCAGGAGUCUGGGACUGGAGGCUGAACCUAACCUCUUCCCUCCAGAGCUGACCCGCUUUGCAUCCUGGAGGAGAUGUCACUUUUCCCGUCCUUCUCCUUUCCCUGGGCAAUUUAGAGGGGAGAAACUGUAAAGUUCUCUUGAAGUUGCUGAUCACAUGUAAGGAGGAGAGAUUGCAGCUCAAGGGAAGAUCCUUGGGAAUCAGGGUUCAGAGGGAGAAGAAGAGAACUAGGGAGAAGAUGGAAGCCUUCCAAGCCUGCAGGGUGAGGACAUUCACACCGGUUUUUGAGGAAGAGCUCAGCUUGGGCGAAUAACACUGGCACGGAGACAGAACUUUGGUUGAGGUCGGGCAAAAGGACUUGAUCGUGGGAGACAGAUUGAGAGCCUGCUAACCACCGCCCCACAUCAGAACAGAACCGGCCUCAAGGUGACUUUGCAAUGCUCCACCCAACUGCCCUGUGAAGGAAGCACCUUUAAUUCUCUCUGGUUCCAGAGCCUGGGGUGGUGUUGUAGCUGUGGAAAUGCGCGUCUUGUGCAGGCAGGACAUUUAAUGCUGGCAUUAAGAUGUUGAGUUCAGAUUGUUCUAUCUGCCAAUACGUGACCCGGAGCUAUCUUAAAUCCUUUUGGAAUGAGGUAGGGUACACACUCAAAAAAUGUACAUGUCUGUACAAGUGGAUACAUUUCUCCAAGCAGCCUUAACAAAUGUGUGUGUUUUUUUUCUUUAAUCAGAUCUUUUAUUUACAUAUUGCAACUAAAUCAUCAAAAGACUUUCAGUGGCUUGCUGGGAUGCACGUCUGAAAGCAGCUCGAUGCUUUGGCUUUAUGUAUGUUUAUCGGCUCUGUGUAAUUUUUUACAUAUGCUGUCUCUCUCCUCGAAAUGACUGCUUCAAGAAAACUGAAAGAACAGUGACAGUGGCAAGGGGCUGGAACAUACGGGUUGUUUGGUGGAAACAAAAUGCCAUUUUUUUUUUUUUAAAGUUUAUUUAUUUUUGAGACAGAGAGAGACAGAGCAUGAACGGGGGAGGGUCAGAG